rnacentral:rRNA from 1 species
UGCCAGACUCCUACGGGAGGCAGCAGUGAGGAAUAUUGGUCAAUGGGCGAGAGCCUGAACCAGCCAAGUCGCGUGAGGGAGUACUGCCCUGUGGGUUGUAAACCUCUUUUGUCGGGGAGCAAAAGCCGGACGUGUCCGGCUGUGAGAGUACCCGAAGAAAAAGCAUCGGCUAACUCCGUGCCAGCAGCCGCGGUAAUACGGAGGAUGCGAGCGUUAUCCGGAUUUAUUGGGUUUAAAGGGUGCGCAGGCGGAUUUUUAAGUCAGCGGUCAAAUCGUGGGGCUCAACCCCAUCCAGCCGUUGAAACUGGGGAUCUAGAGUGUGCGAGAGGUAUGCGGAAUGCGUGGUGUAGCGGUGAAAUGCAUAGAUAUCGCGCAGAACUCCGAUUGCGAAGGCAGCAUGCCGGCUCCACACUGACGCUGAGGCACGAAAGCGUGGGUAUCGGACAGGAUUAGAUACCCGUGUU